rnacentral:rRNA from 1 species
AAUCAACGCUGGCGGCGUGCCUAACACAUGCAAGUCGAACGUGAAAGGGGCUUCGGCCCCGAGUAAAGUGGCAAACGGGUGAGUAACGCGUGGGUGAUCUGCCUUUGAGUGGGGGAUAACCUUCCGAAAGGAGGGCUAAUACCGCAUGACAUCCUGUUCUUGGAUGAACGGUGAUCGAAGCUGGGGACCGCAAGGCCUGG